UGGGGAAUUUUGGACAAUGGGCGCAAGCCUGAUCCAGCCAUGCCGCGUGAGUGAAGAAGGCCUUCGGGUUGUAAAGCUCUUUCAGACGGAAAGAAAUCUCUUGGGCGAAUACCCUGGGAGGAUGACGGUACCGUAAGAAGAAGCACCGGCUAACUACGUGCCAGCAGCCGCGGUAAUACGUAGGGUGCGAGCGUUAAUCGGAACUACUGGGCGUAAAGCGUGCGCAGGCGGUUAUGCAAGACAGAUGUGAAAUCCCCGGGCUCAACCUGGGAACUGCAUUUGUGACUGCAUAGCUGGAGUGCGGCAGAGGGGGAUGGAAUUCCGCGUGUAGCAGUGAAAUGCGUAGAGAUGCGGAGGAACACCGAUGGCGAAGGCAGCCUCCUGGGGCAGUACCGACGCUCAUGCACGAAAGCGUGGGGAGCAAACA
rnacentral:rRNA from 1 species